UGGGGAAUAUUGCACAAUGGGCGCAAGCCUGAUGCAGCCAUGCCGCGUGUGUGAAGAAGGCCUUCGGGUUGUAAAGCACUUUCAGCGAGGAGGAAGGCGUUAAGGUUAAUAACCUUAGCGAUUGACGUUACUCGCAGAAGAAGCACCGGCUAACUCCGUGCCAGCAGCCGCGGUAAUACGGAGGGUGCAAGCGUUAAUCGGAAUUACUGGGCGUAAAGCGCACGCAGGCGGUUUGUUAAGUCAGAUGUGAAAUCCCCGAGCUUAACUUGGGAACUG
rnacentral:rRNA from 1 species